rnacentral:rRNA from 1 species
AGCAGCCGCGGUAAUUCCAGCUCCAAUAGCGUAUAUUAAAGUUGUUGCAGUUAAAAAGCUCGUAGUUGAAUUUCGGGAUUAGUACGCUGGUCAUGCCUUUGGUAUGUACUGGUGUUACUGGUUCCUACCUUCUGAAGAACCGUUAUGUCAUUAAUUUGGUGUGGCGGGGAAUCAGGACUGUUACUUUGAAAAAAUUAGAGUGUUUAAAGCAGGCUCGCGCUUGAAUACAUUAGCAUGGAAUAAUGAAAUAGGACGUUGAUCCUAUUUUGUUGGUUUCUAGGAUUGACGUAAUGAUUAAUAGGGAUAGUUGGGGGCAUUAAUAUUCAAUUGUCAGAGGUGAAAUUCUUGGAUUUAUUGAAGACUAACUACUGCGAAAGCAUUUGCCAAGGAUGUUUUCAUUAAUCAAGAACGAAAGUUAGGGGAUCGAAGACGAUCAGAUACCGUCGUAGUCUUAACCAUAAACUAUGCCGACUAGGGAUCGGAUGAUGUUAAUUUUUAAUGUACUCAUUCGGCGCCUUAC